rnacentral:lncRNA from 1 species
AGAACAUGCCUCAGGCCAGCUAUAGGAGCCAAGAAGCAGGGGCCACUGUGUUCAGAGGGAGUCAUCAUUAGCCCAAGUGGAGAGAACCAUACUGACAGCCCCGGAAUAAUACAAAGAACCAGAAGAGAGAGAUUCAAAGCCCCUUCCCAGUUUGACAAAUCCCAAGGAGGCAGCAUCUAAGCAUAAACUGUAUAAAAGUUACUUCAGGAUGCAACCAUAGAA